rnacentral:rRNA from 1 species
GCUUGUCUCAAAGAUUAAGCCAUGCAUGUCUAAGUAUAAACAAACCUAUACUGUGAAACUGCGAAUGGCUCAUUAUAUCAGUUAUAGUUUCUUUGAUGGUUCUUACUACUUGGAUAACCGUAGUAAUUCUAGAGCUAAUACAUGCAUGAACCCCCGACUUUUGAAGGGGUGUAUUUAUUAGAUUGAAACCAAUGCGGGUUCUGCCCGGUUUUGUGUUGAAUCAUAGUAACUUUUCGAAUCGCAUGGCUUCACGCCGGCGAUAGUUCAUUCAAAUUUCUGCCCUAUCAGCUUUCGACGGUAGUGUAGUGGACUACCGUGGCGUUAACGGGUAACGGAGAAUUAGGGUUCGAUUCCGGAGAGGGAGCCUGAGAAACGGCUACCACAUCCAAGGAAGGCAGCAGG